AAAACCAAACCCCAUCUCCAGCUUAUUUUACUCGCUUUCUCACGAAACCGAGCAGUGAGCAGAACGCACACAGCGAUGGGAGUAGCAACCAUGGCUUCGAAUCUCUUCACCCAUACGCGCAUGUUAGCACCGCCCACCAAUUCAGGCACUACCAGUUCAAACAGAACCCUAGCUUCCUUCUCUCUCAGAGCCAAUCUCCUCUCUCCGUACGUCGGCGGCAGCGUCGCCUCCGACUUCUCCGGACAGAAAAUCCGGCCUUCGUCCCUCUAUUCGGCGUCGUUUUCGGGUUCUCAUGCCAAGAGAGGUGGUGUCACCAUGGUCAUUCCUUUUACAAGGGGAAGUGCAUUGGACCAACCUCCUCCCGAUUUACCAUCUUACUUGUUCAAGAAUCGAAUUGUAUACUUGGGCAUGUCUCUUGUUCCUUCUGUCACUGAGUUGAUCCUAGCAGAAUUCCUUUACCUUCAGUAUGAUGAUGCUGAGAAGCCAAUUUAUCUGUACAUAAACUCCACUGGAACAACCAAGGGUGGGGAGAAGUUGGGUUAUGAGACAGAAGCUUUUGCAAUCUAUGAUGUUAUGGGGUAUGUUAAGUCACCGAUUUUUACUUUGUGUGUUGGUAAUGCUUGGGGAGAAGCAGCCUUACUUUUGGCUGCAGGUGCAAAGGGAAACCGUUCAGCUUUGCCUUCAUCAACAAUCAUGAUAAAGCAGCCAAUUGCAAGGUUUCAAGGUCAGGCGACAGAUAUUGACCUUGCAAGAAAAGAAGUGAAGAAUGUGAAGGCAGAGUUGGUUAAACUCUAUGCAAAACAUAUCGGAAAGUCACCUGAGGAAAUUGAAGCUGACAUCAGGCGCCCAAAAUAUUUUAGUCCUAGUGAAGCUGUUGAAUAUGGCAUUAUAGACAAGGUACUAUACAAUGAAAGGAGCUCUGAGGACCGGGGAGUUGUUGCUGACCUGAAAAAAGCUCAACUCAUUUGAUAGUUUGAAAUGAUGAUUGUAAUGAGUAUUCAGUAGGUUCUGGAGGAGAAAAGUGAUUGCUUGUUCUUUUCAUGGCUAUACCACCUGUAAUUCCAACUCUUAUCUCUGUCCCUCCAAAAACUUUGUCAAAGUGACACCUGGCAAAGUGUAGUAGGAGAAGUGGUGGAUGCAAAAUGCGAGGGUGACGAGCUCAUAACUGGAUCAAGAGCAAGUGCUGGAACUAUAAUUGAUGGAAGGGAGCCACAGCAUUAAUAGUAGACAGAAUUUUGUGGCACUUUUAGGGCAAUACAUGUAUUUUUGGGUGCGUUUGUCAUACUGUUAAAUCACUCUUCAGUUUUAUUUUACUCCAAUGAAAUGAUAGCCACAACAUUUAUUUGUCUUCCUAUACCAAGUUGUGCUUGUAGAUGCUUCGUUAGGUGUAUGGAACCAUGAAUCGUAUUUUAUCUUAUGAAAACCCAUAAAAGGAUGAACUCCACCCUGAUCAAAGAUGUCAUCUAUUGCAAUUCUA